UUUUGCUCCUUCUCUUCUUCUUUUUUAGUCAUAUCGGUCUUUUCUUCUCCAUCUUCUUAAAGUUCUCAACUUCAAAUACAAGAAAAAGUGAAGAUUGAAGAUGAAACUACCAAUAGAGGUUGAAGAUUUGGAAGUUCAGCCUCAAGUAGAAAAUUCUACAAUAGAUAAAACUCAAGCAAAAGGUAAUUAUUUUUCAAAAACUUCUUCUUUGAACAAUCCUCUGAAUCCUAUGAAGAAAUAAAAAAAAAAUCUGGACUCGGGAGAAAGUGCUAGAAAAAUCUCUGAAGUUUAGGAUCAUUUUUCAGAGAUUACUAGUAAAGUGGGUGAAGUGAAGGCAAAAUGUAACUAUUGUUUCAAAGACUUUGCUUGGACUAGUAAGAAUGAGAUUUCUUAUCUUUGGGA